UACAGAGGGUGCCAGCGUUGUUCGGAAUUAUUGGGCGUAAAGGGCGCGUAGGCGGCUUCGUAUGUCGGGUGUGAAAUCCCACCUCUUAAAGGUGGAAUUGCAUUCGAAACUACGAGACUAGAGUACCGGAGAGGAUGGUGGAAUUCCUGGUGUAGAGGUGAAAUUCGUAGAUAUCAGGAGGAACACCGGUGGCGAAGGCGGCCAUCUGGACGGAUACUGACGCUGAGGCGCGAAAGCGUGGGGAUCAAACAGG
rnacentral:rRNA from 1 species